CCUACGUGGGGCUGCAGUGGGGAAUCUUGCGCCAUGUGCGAACGCCUGACGCAGCGACGCCGCGUGCGGGAUGAAGGUCUUCGGAUCGUAAACCUCUGUCAGCAGGGACGAACGGUCACUGUGCUAAUCAGCCGUGAAUUGACGGUACCUGCAAAGGAAGCACCGGCUAACUCCGUGCCAGCAGCCGCGGUAAUACGGCGGGUGCGAGCGUUAAUCGGCUUUACUGGGCGUAAGGCGCUCGUAGGCGGUAGGUCAAGUCAAGGGUGAAAUCCCCGCGCUCAAGGUGGGAACAGCCUUUGAAACGGGCAAAUUGGAGUGUGGGAGAGGAUAGUGGAAUUCCAGGGGUAGGAGUGAAAUCCGUAGAUAUCGGGAGGAAAAUCAGGGGCGAAGGGGACUAUCUGGAACAUAACUGACGCUGAGGAGCGAAAGCGUGGGUAGAAAACAGGAUUAGAUACCCGGGUAGUC
rnacentral:rRNA from 1 species